UGAGUCAGACAGGAGUCUAGGAGAAUGUUUCCAAAACAGGCAGACAAUUAAAUAAACACAGCAAUUGAUAAUGUGAUAGUCUGGAGAGGCAGUGGCUGCGCUUGACCAAGGCAAGUGAUCAGGUCUACAGCGAGAGGACCGUAAGCCUGAAUUCCCUGCAGAAUCCAUGGAUAACUGGAGUUCAGCAAACCAACUCGAAGCAUUUCCUGAAAGUGAACGUCCAUGAGGCACUCUGUAUGAUACUCGCUACGAUGAGGAAACUGAAGUAGCAUGGUGAAGUAAUUUCCUUGAAGUCAUGGUGUUAUGAAAUCUACAGAGGUGGGAUUUGAACCCAUGUCUCUCUGGUGAGCCUCUACUGACCACUCCAAUAUUCUGCCUUUGAGAACAAAUAAAAGGCUCUGCUGUGAAAA